GAUGAACGCUGGCGGCGUGCCUAAUACAUGCAAGUCGAGCGAACGAACGAGAAGCUUGCUUCUCUGAUGUUAGCGGCGGACGGGUGAGUAACACGUGGAUAACCUACCUAUAAGACUGGGAUAACUUCGGGAAACCGGAGCUAAUACCGGAUGAUAUUUUGAACCGCAUGGUUCAAAAGUGAAAGACGGUCUUGCUGUCACUUAUAGAUGGAUCCGCGCUGCAUUAGCUAGUUGGUAAGGUAACGGCUUACCAAGGCAACGAUGCAUAGCCGACCUGAGAGGGUGAUCGGCCACACUGGAACUGAGACACGGUCCAGACUCCUACGGGAGGCAGCAGUAGGGAAUCUUCCGCAAUGGGCGAAAGCCUGACGGAGCAACGCCGCGUGAGUGAUGAAGGUCUUCGGAUCGUAAAACUCUGUUAUUAGGGAAGAACAUAUGUGUAAGUAACUGUGCACAUCUUGACGGUACCUAAUCAGAAAGCCACGGCUAACUACGUG
rnacentral:rRNA from 1 species